rnacentral:lncRNA from 1 species
CCAUACACUCCCAAGAGUGCCUUCGGGAACCCCUCUCCCCACUACCCAACCAGAGAGACAGCCCCACGCCCGGCAAGACGCAACUCCGGGCCACGGAGGGCGCCGCCCGGACAGCCCGGCCGGGUCAGGGGGCUUCGCCGCCGAGCACCCUCCGGCAGCCGCCCUCGGGCCUCCGCGGCCGGGCGGGAGGGCGCCUCCCCGACCACACUUCGGCCGCUUGGCACCCACAGCCGGGAGGGCGUGAGGAAGGACUCGGUCUAACUCCGGGGAACCCUCGGAGUUCCGGCGCAGACACCCGAGGGGGUGUCCUGGGAACUCCUUCGCCCGCGACACCCGUUCUUCUCCGUCUCCCGACCACCAGCGACGCAGCAGGGCGGCUGCCGGCCCGGCCCGGCCCGCCUUGCGGGCUGUGCGCGGCGCAGCUCUUCCUCCGCGGGGCCGUGAAGGCCACCGGCCGCCCCCGCGCGCCCAGCUGCCCGGCCCCGCCGCCUAAGCCGCCGCGUUGCUGGCGGGUAGCCGCGGGCCUCCGGUGCGCGGGCCCCGGCGCGUCCCCGAGCGCGCGCCUGGCCGCGGCCCCGCGCGAGUUGCACUAACUUUCCGGGGCGGGGGAGGGGUGGGCGCCGCGGGCCCGGCUCCCAGGCCUUACCUGUGCUCAAGUUGUCGUUGAUUUUCAAAGGCACCCGCAGGAUGUAGACCAGGAAUAGCACGAUGAAGAACCACACGGUCCACAGAUACGUCCAAGAC